GGGGCCGCGGGGCGGGAACUGACUGUGGACAAACGUCAGUCCGAGUCACGGAGUUUCUAAUGUUAAAGGGAAGCAGAGUGAAAGUUUAGCAAGUGCAGUGAGACGUAGAGGAAUGAAGGGGAGGCAGGCGGGUCCAAGAAGAGAUUACGUGAGGCACAGCUGUUCGCUUCCUUUUCAGGAGAAGCGGUGAUGUUUCCUCAGUGAUUUGCCUCUAGUCAGAUAAACACAGCUGGUGGUAAGAGAUUCAUGAGGCCGGGCAGAGCUACACAUCUGCCCGAAAGAGGAAGGCAAGUACUGUACAAGCUAUGGUGCUCAUCUCAAGGAUUUUAUUUCUCAAGCUGAGACAGCAUAAAGACACACUGAAGAUAAAUCAUGGACCAUAUAACAAGAACAGGUGAAGACAUGCUGAUAUGAAAAUAACACAGAAGGUAAGAAAUCGUUUCGGUUUUCCUUUCUCAGUGUUUCUAUUUCAUAUCUUCUCAGUAAGUCAAACUGUGUGACUCCAGCGUUCUUAUUAAAUGCAGUGGUAGGGAGUUGAAGAAUAUGACGAUGGACAUGCAUUUGCUGCUUAAAGUAGAGAUGUCUGAGACACUAGUGAAGUUUUUGAUCAUGGUACAUUCAAGCUCCCCUUUUUAUGUUUAUGAACUGUAUACUACAUGUUCUUAUUGUCACCUGAAGAUGGAGAAGAAAAGGAGAAAGGUACAGCACAGGCAAAGCAGAAGAAAUAACAAAUGGAACAAAGCUCAAACAUACAGGAAAGAACAGUAAUAGUGAGAUUUUAUAUGAUGUUUUCCAUCUUGAGUAUGUCAUAAACUGAAAUUAGUAAUAACUGUAAACUAGCUGUUAUUUCCCUCACCAGACUGGAACUCAAUGAAUGGUGGUACUAUAAAAUCAUUAUAGGUAAGUUGUUAUCCGGAGUAGGGCAUAAAAAAGUAAUCUGUCACUCAGGUCCUAUGCAUAUGUUAUGUACCACAAGUAACAUUAGUAAGAGGCUAGUCAUGUCCUACUCUCACAUGAUGUAAUUAAUACACAGUAAAUGACUCUGAAAUUUAACACCAGUCUGAGUAUAGUAAGUGUGGAAUUGUCCCAAAUCUCUAAGAAUGCGCGAGUGUAUGGUGUUAAUAGCCUGAUUAUGUAGCAGCAAGGGUUUAAAUAUAGAUUUUGAGGCAUCUAAUUUGAUUCCUCAAGAGGCAACUAAUUUGACAGCAAGCACCUUGUAUUGGAAGCUUAGUUUGUGGAAGAGCUGUAGAGCCAGACGGGUUUUAUUUUGGGGAGUGUAUGAGACCUGUUAGAUGCUUCAAGUGUUUAUGUCUUAUCUGCAGUACUUUAAGAGCAUUUCCAGACAUACUGAUUCACCAGAACCUGAACUGUGUGCAGUUCUGGGUGCCACAAUGUAAGAAAGAUUUAAAACUACUGGAGAGCAUCCCAAGAAGGGCAACAAAGGUGCUGAAGGAUGUAGAGGGCAAGACAUAUGAGGGGCAGCUGAUGCUCCUGGUCUGUUCAGCCCAGAGGACGGGAGGCUGAUCUCAAAUGUUGUCCUGCGAUAACACAGCAUCAUCACCAGCUUCAGAGUGUGAUGAGACUCCUGAGUGUCAUUGGCUGACUUUGUCCAUGAGAAAGCUGAAUAAAUAAUUUGGGCCUGUCCA